GCUGUGAGCUCUUUUGCAGACUGUGCCAAGGAAAAAUGGUUUUGCUAUUCUCAUCAGUUGUUCAGCUGUUGUGGUAGUAGGGUCUUCAUAAAGGGAGUUAGGAAGGGGCAUUCAGAGAGUUUAUUGUUUCAUAAGGGUGGAUGCAGUGUUUGGCUUGGUCAUUUCUUUGUACAUAGCUCUGCCUGUGUUUCCUAAUGCCGAUUGGUUGAGCCACUCCUCUUUGUGAUUGUUGACUAACAUUGAUCUUAGGGUGAGGUAGUUAACAGGUCUAUCUGGUUGUUCCAUAGAUGAUCCCGCAUUUGAUAGUUUAUCAGCCUUUUAAUUUCCCAUGAUGCCAAUGUGUCCAUGGAUCCACUCUAAUGUGAUAAUGAUAUUUAAUUUUGACAUCAUCUGAUGGAUUAUCUCACUUAGUGUUGUCAACUCUCUUGGGAUGGUUGAGGUGCUUAUCCAUAACAGAUCUGAUGUAUCCAAUGUAUAACUGUCUUAAGGUUUUCUUUUCGGUUCCCCAGCAUCUUCCUGCUAGGUGUUUUACUAUGUUAAGUCUUUGUGAUGUGUUUUCGCUUGAAUCUGCAAUAAAGUAUUUUAGAGACAGUCUUUGGUCUAAUUUCAAACCUAGAUAUGUUAAAUUUUUUAUUUUUUUUUAUUGGCUGUGAGUCUAUUUAUAAACUGUAGUCUCUUUUUGCUGUUUUGUUGCUGUGUUUAAAGAUUGAAUAAACUGACUUUUCUUUGUUUAUUUCCGUUUUCCAUAAUUUUAAAUACUUGGAGAUAGUUGUGAGGGCUAUAUUUAAUUUGGAUCUUGUCAGCACUGGAUAUUACUCUGUUGUCCAAAUUUUAUCUAGAAAAAAAUUACAGAUGUUACUUCAAGAGAGAGACAGAGAGAUUUACCAAAAGAUUUGUGCAGACUCAUCCUGUGGGUCAGUUCAUGAACAGAAUGAUUUACACAAAAUGUGAGGAGGCAGGAUUGGCAAAGUGGCAUUAAUCUUUUCUAUGUCCAGACGAUGUUCCUACAUGAAGUCAUGUAAAGUACAUGGAUGAAGACGUGCAUAGAGAACUGAACAGGGCAUUGGGACAUUGGAAUUAAGGUGGUUUUAAGUUAUUAGUUUAAGUUAUUGUAUUUUAUGUCAGUCUUGUUUUGUAAUUGUUGUUUGUGGAUGUGUCCAAAGUAGCCUUGUAAGUUUUGUUUGUAAUGUCUGACAUACUGUUGUUCAUCUUGUUUGUGCUUGUUUGACAGUCAUUGAAGUAGUUGUUUUUUACUGGCUUUAAUGUAGUUCUGUUAUGUAUUUAGCUAUUUAGUAUCAAUCUCUAAGACAGUAAUUCUAAUUCUUUGAGUUUGAAACUAUUUUUCUUUCCUUUAAUCGAGUAUUUAUUUGAGAAGGUCUUCUCAUUUAAAGUCUAUCUAGUUUGGAAUGUGAAACAAGUUAGUUUCUUAGUUAUCUUUUAUUUUUAAUUUUAAAAAGUAAUCUAUAUCAAUAUUUGUUUAAGUUCUAUUAAAUAUUUUUUUUUAUUAAAGAAUAAUAAGUCUUUUCUUAUAAAGGUGAAAAUAACUUUGAGGAAAUAUUCAUGGCUUUUCAAACUCAAUUAUCACUAAGAUGUUAGGGUGAAUGUGAAGAUGGUUUUAAAUAACUGGAACUUUGCAAAUAGUCUUAUUUAUUUAUUUCUGUAUUUCUGAAUGUCUUUGACUAUACAUAUGCUUGGUCAACUUACAGCAUGUUAACCUGACAAUACAUAUUAACUAUGACAGUCAAUACUUUUCCGCUAUUACUUACUGCAUGUGACCAGUCAAUACUUUUCCGCUAUUACUUACUGCAUGUGACCAGUCAAUACAUUUCCUCUAUUACUUACUGCAUGCUUACCUUACUAUACACUCACAUAGCAACUGAUUGUGUUUUGUAUUGUUCAAAUAUCUAGAAAAAUAAUUUUAAUUCUUUGAGAUUUCCAGAAGAAUAAUUAGUCUCUUCUGAUACAGAUCAAACAAACAUGGAGGAAAUGUAUUUCCAGAACUAAACAUGCCUCCUUGCCAUUGUGAUUGAGGUGAAGUUUAAGUCAUUAGACUUUUAUUGAAUGUUUCUUCAAGCAAUAUGACAAAAUAAAAACAUUGCAACAUUCUGCAUGUUGACUUGACAAUACAAUUAUUUUUUGACUCAUUCUACCUGGCAAUAUACAUAUGUAGGGACUUGUUGCAUAUGGACCUGAUUUCUACAACAUUUAAGGAGACAGACUGUAUAUUGACAUGGGGUGUAAGGUAGUUGAAAAGGUUAUUUGUCAGCAAAAUUCUACUUUAGAAUAGCCAAAAGCCUGAAGUUCCCAUCUACCUAGCUCAUCUAUGGCUUCUCGUGCCACACCCUGGCAACAGUCUUGGUUGAUUGGCUGAAUACAUGAGUGAAAACAGUUUCUUAA